CUAAUAUGGAGUAUUUUGGAAUUUAUAAUCGUCAGCUGGUAGCUCUAAGCUGUGAAAUCUUGUUCUUUGCUAUAGAGACUGGAGAGAUAGUGAGGAGGUACUUCUUUGAAAAUCAAAGUGAUGUAAGUCAGUGUACAUUUACCUUCUGAAAUGUUUGUCUUCUGAUAGCAUAUACACAUGAGGACUCCAGUCCCUGGGAGUAUGAAUACCAUGGAAAUGGAAACAUUUAAGAGACAGCAAACACUGACACUAGCAGACAGAUGGCACCCUCCCAGCAAGCAACAAAUCGACGUCUCCUGUAGCAUCCAGAGAUGUCGGGCCCAGCUGUGACCUCAGUCCCCAGAGCUCAGAACACAGCCCACAGUGCAGAGGUCCAGCCACCGGACAGCUCCGAGGACAAAAGUGCAGAGCAGAUAGAGCUGGAGAACCAGAUCCAUCAGCGAAUAGCAGAUUUAAGGAAAGAAGGCCUGUGGUCAGUGAGGCGGCUGCCGAAACUGCAGGAGGCCCCG